rnacentral:rRNA from 1 species
CAGUCGCCGCGGUAAUACGUAGGUGGCGAGCGUUGUCCGGAAUCAUUGGGCGUAAAGGGAGCGCAGGCGGGCGUGUAAGUCUUUCUUAAAAGUUCGGGGCUCAACCCCUUGAUGGGAAAGAAACUACAUGUCUUGAGUACAGGAGAGGAAAGCGGAAUUCCCAGUGUAGCGGUGAAAUGCGUAGAUAUUGGGAGGAACACCAGUGGCGAAGGCGGCUUUCUGGACUGCAACUGACGCUGAGGCUCGAAAGCCAGGGGAGCGAACGGGAUUAGAUACCCGCGUAGUCCCUGUCUCUUAUACA